CCUACGGGAGGCAGCAGUGAGGAAUAUUGGUCAAUGGGCGAGAGCCUGAACCAGCCAAGUCGCGUGAAGGAUGACGGCCCUACGGGUUGUAAACUUCUUUUUUCAGGGAGCAAUUGUGUACACGCGUGGGCUUAGCGAGAGUAACUGAAGUAAAAGCAUCGGCUAACUCCGUGCCAGCAACCGCGGUCAUACGGAGGAUGCGAGCGUUAUCCGUAUUUAUUGGGUGUAAAGGGUGCGUAGGCGGAAUAUCAAGUCAGCGGUAAAAAUUCGGGGCUCAACCCCGGCGUACCGUUGAUACUUAUGUUCUUGAGUGAGAGAGAGGUAUGCGGAAUGCGUGGUGUAGCGGUGAAAUGCAUAGAUAUAACGCAGAACUCCGAUUGCGAAGGCAGCAUACCGGCGCCCAACUAACGCUGAGGCACGAAAGCGUGGGUAUCGAACAGGAUUAGAUACCCGAGUAGUC
rnacentral:rRNA from 1 species